rnacentral:rRNA from 1 species
UAGACGUCGUAACAAGGUCUCCGUUGGUGAACCAGCGGAGGGAUCAUU